rnacentral:lncRNA from 1 species
GACAAGUUUGUACUCUGACUUCUUGAUGAUUCUUAGAAAUUCUUCUGCUUCAUCAUCAAGUUCUUUCUCCGACCCACCAGGUGCCGGUGUCACCACAGGAGUACCUUCAUUAAUCACUUGUUUUCCUCUUGCCCUGGCUAAAGCCUCAGCCUUUUCUUUCUUUUCUUUUUCUCCUUCUCCUCCCCUCAAAGCAUCAGGAGCAAACAACCUCCCACUACGAGUGAAACCGCUGGGUCCGACAUUAUCCACCUU